GUACUCGCUUCAACGGUGCAUACCCUAAAAAUUAGAACGAUACAGUGAAGAUUACCAUGGCCCCUGCGCAAGGAUGACACGCGGAAUUGUGAAGCAUUCCGUACUUUG